rnacentral:rRNA from 1 species
AGAGUUUGAUCAUGGCUCAGGAUGAACGCUAGCUACAGGCUUAACACAUGCAAGUCGAGCGGUUUGUGCUUUUGCACAUUCAGCGGCAGACGGGUGAGUAACACGUAUCUAACCUUCCCCUUACUUGGGCAUAGCCUCUGGAAACGGAGAUUAAUUUCCGAUGUGGUGUACAUUUCGCAUGUUUUGCGCACCAAAGAUUUAUCGGUAAGGGAUGGGGAUGCGCUCCAUUAGGUAGUAGGUAGGGUAAUGGCCUACCUAGCCUAUGAUGGAUAGGGGUUCUGAGAGGAAGGUCCCCCACAUUGGAACUGCGACACGGUCCAAACUCCUACGGGAGGCAGCAGUGAGGAAUAUUGGUCAAUGGCCGGAAGGCUGAACCAGCCAAGUAGCGUGCAGGAUGACUGCCUUAUGGGUUGUAAACUGCUUUUUUACGGGAAUAAUUAUGAUCACGUGUGAUUAUUUGCAUGUACCGUAAGAAUAAGGAUCGGCUAACUCCGUGCCAGCAGCCGCGGUAAUACGGAGGAUCCUAGUGUUAUCCGGAUUUAUUGGGUUUAAAGGGAGCGUAGGCGGGAGGUCAAGUCAGCUGUGAAAUGUAUCUGCUUAACGGGUACACUGCAGUUGAAACUGGUUUUCUUGAGUGCGUAAGAGGCAGGCGGAAUUCGUUGUGUAGCGGUGAAAUGCUUAGAUAUGACGAGGAACUCCUAUUGCGAAGGCAGCUUGCUGGGUCGUUACUGACGCUGAUGCUCGAAGGUGCGGGGAUCAAACAGGAUUAGAUACCCUGGUAGUCCGCACAGUAAACUAUGGAUACUCUCUGCCGGCGAUAUAUUGUCGGUGGCCAAGCGAAAGCGUUAAGUAUCCCACCUGGGGAGUACGUUCGCAAGAAUGAAACUCAAAUGAAUUGACGG